UGAGCAAUCUGCCCUUCUCAUCGGAAUAAGCGUUGCAAACGACGUCUAAUGCCGAAUACGACCUCCUUUCGCAUGAUCGGAGGUGGAAAGCUCCGGCGGAGAAGGAUGAGCUCGCGGCCUAUCAGCUAGUUGGUGUGGGUAAUGGCCCACCAAGGCGACGACGGGUAGCCGGCCUGAGAGGGUGACCGGCCACACUGGGACUGAGACACGGCCCAGACCUCCGUAGGGAGG
rnacentral:rRNA from 1 species